rnacentral:rRNA from 1 species
AUUGAACGCUGGCGGCAGGCCUAACACAUGCAAGUCGAGCGAGCGGCGGACGGGUGAGUAAUGUCUGGGACACUGCCUGAUGGAGGGGGAUAACUACUGGAAACGGUAGCUAAUACCGCAUACGAUCAGAUGUGCCCAGAUAGGAUUAGCUAGUAGGUGGGGUAAUGGCGCACCUCGGCGACGAUCCCUAGCUGGGCUGAGAGGAUGACCAGUCGAACUGGAACUGAGACACGGUCCCUAUUCCUAAGGGAGGCAGCAGUUGGGAAUAUGGGACAAUGGGCGCAAGCCUGAUGCAGCCAUGCCGCGUGUAUGAAGAAGGCCUUGGGGUUGUAAAGUACUUUCAGCGAGGAGGCGUUACUCGCAGAAGAAGCACCGGCUAACUCCGUGCCAGCAGCCGCGGUAAUAC